AGAGUUUGAUCAUGGCUCAGAUUGAACGCUGGCGGCAGGCUUAACACAUGCAAGUCGAACGGUAGCAGGAGAAAGCUUGCUUUCUUGCUGACGAGUGGCGGACGGGUGAGUAAUGCUUGGGAAUCUGGCUUAUGGAGGGGGAUAACUACGGGAAACUGUAGCUAAUACCGCGUAGUAUCGAGAGAUGAAAGGGUGGGACCUUCGGGCCACCUGCCAUAAGAUGAGCCCAAGUGGGAUUAGGUAGUUGGUGGGGUAAAGGCCUACCAAGCCGACGAUCUCUAGCUGGUCUGAGAGGAUGACCAGCCACACUGGAACUGAGACACGGUCCAGACUCCUACGGGAGGCAGCAGUGGGGAAUAUUGCACAAUGGGGGGAACCCUGAUGCAGCCAUGCCGCGUGAAUGAAGAAGGCCUUCGGGUUGUAAAGUUCUUUCGGUGAUGAGGAAGGGUGGUGUUUUAAUAGAGCACUACAUUGACGUUAGUCACAGAAGAAGCACCGGCUAACUCCGUGCCAGCAGCCGCGGUAAUACGGAGGGUGCGAGCGUUAAUCGGAAUGACUGGGCGUAAAGGGCACGCAGGCGGUGACUUAAGUGAGAUGUGAAAGCCCCGAGCUUAACUUGGGAAUUGCAUUUCAUACUGGGUUGCUAGAGUAUUUUAGGGAGGGGUAGAAUUCCACGUGUAGCGGUGAAAUGCGUAGAGAUGUGGAGGAAUACCGAAGGCGAAGGCAGCCCCUUGGGAAAAUACUGACGCUCAUGUGCGAAAGCGUGGGGAGCAAACAGGAUUAGAUACCCUGGUAGUCCACGCUGUAAACGCUGUCGAUUUGGGGAUUGGGCUUUAAGCUUGGUGCCCGUAGCU
rnacentral:rRNA from 1 species